UUAUUUAGUACGUAUCCUCCUGUUGAUGGAGAAUCGGGCGAGGCAACGACUGGGGAGCACAAAAAAAAGGCGGAUAAACAAAGGCGAAAGAAAGAUGACAUUUUGUUUAGGCCGUCUAUGAGCAAGGAAGAGAUAAUGAAGAAAUGGGAAUCGUAUACUAAUAGAGUGAAGAGUGUCGCUAAUCUGAAAAAGGUUUCUUUGAGUACAUGAACAAAAGCGAUGAAGUUUCUGGUUUUAUGCUAUCUCAGAAGAGAGAUCUAAGCUUCCAAUUGCAUCCUUUCAAGAUGUCAUUACUUCAAAAGUUAAAUCUCACCAGGUCGUUAUCAUAACUGGUGAGACUGGGUGUGGAAAGACAACACAGGUCCCUCAGUUUCUUUUGGAUUAUAUGUGGGGUAAGGGAGAAGCAUGUAAGAUAGUCUGUACCCAUCCUCGACAAAUAUCCACUAUGUCAGUUGCUGAGCGAAUCUCCUAUGAAAGAGGAGAAAAUGUUGGAAGUGAUAUUGGAUAUAAGGUAUUCUUCUGCCGGUAGUUUAUGCUAAAUGAUAUCUAAUUAUCUUUCUUGUAUAGAUCUUUAUUAUCCUUUGGAGUGGGGAUCUGUUUUGGUCAUUAUCUUGAAGUAGCUGAUGUUUAUGAUGAAAAUAGAAUUGGACUUUAUCAAUUUAAUCACUUUGUUCUUGGUGCUUGUAUGAUCUGCAUGCGUGUAUGUACCUUUCGUUUGGAGUUCAGCUGGAUUGGAAUUGUGAAAGUUUCUUAUUUUAUAGCUUAUUUCGAGAAUUUGUACAAUGGAAAUAAUUUCUUAUGGAGAUGUAUAUAACCUCUAGUUAAUUUUGCUUU